GUGCUUACUUUGGCAGCACAUACACUAAAAUGAAAACGAUACAAAGAAGAUUAGCAUGGCCCCUAUGCAAGGAUGACCGGCAAAUUGGUGAAGCAUUCCAUAUUUAA